UUCCAUGGUGAAAUCUCAAAAAACUAUUCCUUGAGCCAAGUUUUGCCUCAAUCUAAGAAACCCUCCUUUAAUUCCUUAUUUUCAAAGGAAAGAAGGACUAAGUCCCCACCCAGAGGUUUGAUGUCAAAAUCAAUUAUUUCUUUUGCUAAUAAGUAAUGCUCAAUUUUUGGCAAAGAUUUAAUAUCCAAAACUCUAGCAAUGGCUGAUCUCUCUAAAAGAGCUUGGUUUUGUUUGGCAAAGUCUUAUGGAGCUAUAUAUUUGCCAGAGACAGUGUUGUGGGCUUGAUGAGUUUCAUUUCAAGGAAGAACAGGACAAAUAUCAAUAGCUUCUUGUAUUUUGCUACCAUUCUUCUUAACCCAUAUCUGCUUACAGCUCUCUUUCUUAUUUUCCUUUGUGUUUAUUGCUGCUUUCCCUUUCCAACGUCGUUGUUGAUUGCGAUAGGGUUUAUUGAGGCCGCUUCUGUGGUUCCGAUAAGAGAAGCUAGGCUGAGAGUGGGCAUGGGUAUUAUAAAAGGUCCUCCCUAAUCUAGAUUGAAAUGCACGUAGCUUAUAAGUAUCUACCCAAAUUUUAUUGAGUACAUCAAGAAUGUUUUUGAAGCUGAAGGUAGAGGAGGCUUUGAUGAAACCAAAUCUCCGACCCCUAUGAGUGAGUUUUUGAGGAAUGGAAAUACUAACAAUGUCACCAGGCUUGAAGAUUUUGAGAAGAGCAUUAGCAUCCCAGUUUGGUGGAAAGUUUUCAAAGUAUAUGGAGAGUGAGUUAUUUUGGGUGGUUUGUGAUGGUUUGGACGUAUUGUGUUGGCCGGAGAAAUGGAAAAACCAUGAGACCCUUUGACCCAUCUACCUCUU
rnacentral:misc_RNA from 1 species